CCUUGGCCUCCCAAAGUGCUGGGAUUACAGGUGUGAGCCACCACGCCCGGACUGAUCUCCUUAUUUUAAGAACUACUUAACAAUAUACAUACUGAUCCAUUGUGGAAUUAUUAAGGAAAAUACAUUGAAAUAGGUGGCAUUCUUGUCAAAGAUAUAUAUGGACGGCUAGAUGGAUAGAUAGGUGAAAAUCAUGUUCCAUGGAAGAAGAGUUAGCUCAGCCUGCAACUCAAACAAGUACAGAUAUUCUUCCAUGGAAUGACCAUCAUACUUGGAUUGUAAUAAAAAUGCUUUAGGCAAACUUCUCAUUUCAUCCUUGGCAUAUUAAAAAUAUGUAUGUAUGUUUAAGGCUUGAAACUUAACACUGUAUUUUAAUGUUUCAGUAAGGUAAUUCUUCUUAAAUAAAAUUGGCAUUUUUAAAAAAGCCCUCUCUCACCACUCCUAUUCAACAUAGUGUUGGAAGUUCUGGCCAGGGCAAUUAGG
rnacentral:lncRNA from 1 species